rnacentral:rRNA from 1 species
UCAUUAACAAGUUGGGCGAAAGCCCCUCUGUUUGUCCUCACACCUCUGCGUACCCAACCACGUUGCUUCCGAGGGACAGCCCUUCGGGGCCCGCCUCUCUCCGGCGGAGUCGCCCUCGGGAGGUAUACCAAACUCAUGUUGUUUUGAUUUCUGUCUGAAUGUGAAACUAUAACAGUUAAAACUUUCAACAACGGAUCUCUUGGUUCUCGCAUCGAUGAAGAACGCAGCGAAAUGCGAUAAGUAGUGUGAAUUGCAGAAUUCAGUGAAUCAUCGAAUCUUUGAACGCACAUUGCGCCCUCUGGUAUUCCGGGGGGCAUGCCUGUUCGAGCGUCAUCAAACAAACCUCAAGCUCUUUUUGCUUGGUAUUGGAGGUGGACGGGACAACCGCCCCCUCUCAAAGCGAUCUGGCGGAAAGCCUUGUCGGCCCAGGCGUAGUAAUUAAUCUUUCUCGUUUAGGCCGGCGGUGGUGUUCCUGCCGUACAACCCCCAAUCUACCAAUAGUUUGACCUCGGAUCAGGUAGGGAUACCCGCUGAACUUAAGCAUAUCAAUAAGCGGAGGAAAAGAAACCAACAGGGAUUGCCUUAGUAACUGCGAGUGAAGCGGCAUCAGCUCAAAUUUGAAAUCUGGCGUCUUCGGCGUCCGAGUUGUAAUUUGGAGGGGCAUCUUCGGGGAGGACGCAGGUCUAAGUUCCUUGGAACAGGACGUCAUAGAGGGUGAGAAUCCCGUCAUUGGCUUGCUGCUCCUCUCCAUGUGAAGUGCCUCCGACGAGUCGAGUUGUUUGGGAAUGCAGCUCAA